rnacentral:rRNA from 1 species
CCUGGAAACAGAUGCUAAUACCGGAUAANAACAGAUGAUGCCUAUCAACUGUUUAAAAGAUGGUUCUGCUAUCACUCUUGGAUGGACCUGCGGUGCAUUAGCUAGUUGGUAGGGUAACGGCCUACCAAGGCGAUGAUGCAUAGCCGAGUUGAGAGACUGAUCGGCCACAUUGGGACUGAGACACGGCCCAAACUCCUACGGGAGGCAGCAGGG